rnacentral:rRNA from 1 species
GAUCCUGGCUCAGGAUGAACGCUGGCGGCGCGCCUAACACAUGCAAGUCGAACGAGUAAGACGCCUUCGGGCGUGGAUAGAGUGGCGAACGGGUGAGUAACACGUGACCAACCUGCCCCCUCCCUCCGGGACAACCUCGGAACCGAGGCUAAUACCGGAUACUCCGGGCCCCCCGGCCAUGGGGGGGCCCGGGGAAAGCCCUGACGGGAGGGGAUGGGGUCGCGGCCCAUCAGGUAGACGGCGGGGUAACGGCCCACCGUGCCUGCAACGGGUAGCCGGG